GUGCACCAGGCGAGAAUCUUCCACAAUGGGGGAAACCCUGAUGGAGCGACGCCGCGUGCGGGAUGAAGGCCCUAUGGGUUGUAAACCGCUGUUCAGUGGAAAGAACAUCCUCCGGCUGAAUAGGGUCGGAGGCCUGACGUUACCACGUGCAGAAAGUCCCGGCCAACUCCGUGCCAGCAGCCGCGGUAGGUACGGGGGGACGAGCGUU
rnacentral:rRNA from 1 species